CUGUUUGCCACUGGAGCAUCAUCAAGAUUCACAAGUGCUUUUCGCUUGUGGGGUUAUAAUAAUAAUAACAAUGAUAAUCCCUUUUGAUCCAUUUGAGAAUCUUGAUGAUGCUGCAGAGACAAUAUU
rnacentral:pre_miRNA from 1 species